rnacentral:rRNA from 1 species
AUUGAACGCUGGCGGCAUGCUUGACACAUGCAAGUCGAACGGCAGCACAGUAUGUAGCAAUACAUAUGGGUGGCGAGUGGCGGACGGGUGAGUAACGCGUAGGAAUCUGCCUUGAAGAGGGGGACAACCCGAGGAAACUCGGGCUAAUACCGCAUAAUAUCGAGAGAUUAAAGUUGGGGCAACCUGACACUUUGAGAGGAGCCUGCGUCCGAUUAGCUAGUUGGUAGGAUAAAAGCCUACCAAGGCGAUGAUCGGUAGCUGGUCUGAGAGGACGACCAGCCACACCGGAACUGAGACACGGUCCAGACUCCUACGGGAGGCAGCAGUGGGGAAUUUUGGACAAUGGGCGAAAGCCUGAUCCAGCCAUUCCGCGUGAGUGAAGAAGGCCUUCGGGUUGUAAAGCUCUUUCGCAAGGAAAGAAAACUUACUUACUAAUACUAGGUGAGGUUGACGGUACCUUGAUAAGAAGCACCGGCUAACUACGUGCCAGCCGCCGCCGUAA